rnacentral:other from 1 species
UCCGCCCUACGAUGCGCGUGGUAGCCGAUAGUUUUGAGCCAACACCAACACAUAGGGAGCCUGGACUCUGGCUGUGGAGUGCAUGCCUUUUUAUAGAAGGACGCAUUAAGCAGUCAGGAGGGCACCCACCUGCGGAGAGCAGGUUCAAAACCACGGCGAACACGGCAUUUGUGGGGUUUAG